CAGUCGCCGCGGUAAUACGUAGGUGGCAAGCGUUGUCCGGAUUUAUUGGGCGUAAAGCGAGCGCAGGCGGUUCCUUAAGUCUGAUGUGAAAGCCCCCGGCUCAACCGGGGAGGGUCAUUGGAAACUGGGGAACUUGAGUGCAGAAGAGGAGAGUGGAAUUCCAUGUGUAGCGGUGAAAUGCGUAGAUAUAUGGAGGAACACCAGUGGCGAAGGCGACUCUCUGGUCUGUAACUGACGCUGAGGCUCGAAAGCGUGGGUAGCAAACAGGAUUAGAUACCCGCGUAGUCCCUGUCUCUUAUAC
rnacentral:rRNA from 1 species